rnacentral:rRNA from 1 species
UACGAAGGGGGCUAGCGUUGCUCGGAAUCACUGGGCGUAAAGCGCACGUAGGCGGGUUUUUAAGUCGGGGGUGAAAUCCUGGAGCUCAACUCCAGAACUGCCUUCGAUACUGGCGACCUUGAGUCCGGGAGAGGUGAGUGGAACUCCGAGUGUAGAGGUGAAAUUCGUAGAUAUUCGGAAGAACACCAGUGGCGAAGGCGGCUCACUGGCCCGGUACUGACGCUGAGGUGCGAAAGCGUGGGGAGCAAACAGG